CUCUUCAGAUGGUAUAAAUCUUUCGCCUUUUACUAAAUAUUUCCGUGGACAG
ensembl:snRNA U5 U5 spliceosomal RNA